rnacentral:rRNA from 1 species
CCCUUAGAUGUUCUGGGCCGCACGCGCGCUACACUGACAGAGCCAACGAGUUCAUUUCCUUGCCCGGAAGGGUUGGGUAAUCUUGUUAAACUCUGUCGUGCUGGGGAUAGAGCAUUGCAAUUAUUGCUCUUCAACGAGGAAUGCCUAGUAAGCGUACGUCAUCAGCGUGCGUUGAUUACGUCCCUGCCCUUUGUACACACCGCCCGUCGCUACUACCGAUUGAAUGGCUGAGUGAGGCCUUCGGACUGGCCCAGGGAGGUCGGCAACGACCACCCAGGGCCGGAAAGUUGGUCAAACUCCGUCAUUUAGAGGAAGUAAAAGUCGUAACA